UCCGGCGACCGGCGCACGGGUGAGUAACACGUAUGCAACCUGCCCGUGGCAGGGGGAUAAGCGGGGGAAACCCCGUCUAAUACCGCGUAACGCGGCCUUGGGGCAUCCCAAGGCCGCCAAAGGGAGCAAUCCCGGCCACGGAUGGGCAUGCGGCGCAUUAGCUAGUCGGCGGGGUAACGGCCCACCGAGGCGACGAUGCGUAGGGGUUCUGAGAGGAAGGCCCCCCACACUGGUACUGAGACACGGACCAGACUCCUACGGGAGGCAGCAG
rnacentral:rRNA from 1 species